rnacentral:rRNA from 1 species
AAUAUUCCUGUACUUGGUGUUACUGCGAAGGGGGGACGGAGAAGGCUAUGUUGGCCGGGCGACGGUUGUCCCGGUUUAAGCGUGUAGGCUGAUUUUCCAGGCAAAUCCGGAAAAUCAAGGCUGAGGCGUGAUGACGAGGCACUACGGUGCUGAAGCAACAAAUGCCCUGCUUCCAGGAAAAGCCUCUAAGCAUCAGGUAACAUCAAAUCGUACCCCAAACCGACACAGGUGGUCAGGUAGAGAAUACCAAGGCGCUUGAGAGAACUCGGGUGAAGGAACUAGGCAAAAUGGUGCCGUAACUUCGGGAGAAGGCACGCUGAUAUGUAGGUGAAGCGACUUGCUCGUGGAGCUGAAAUCAGUCGAAGAUACCAGCUGGCUGCAACUGUUUAUUAAAAACACAGCACUGUGCAAACACGAAAGUGGACGUAUACGGUGUGACGCCUGCCCGGUGCCGGAAGGUUAAUUGAUGGGGUUAGCGGUAACGCGAAGCUCUUGAUCGAAGCCCCGGUAAACGGCGGCCGUAACUAUAACGGUCCUAAGGUAGCGAAAUUCCUUGUCGGGUAAGUUCCGACCUGCACGAAUGGCGUAAUGAUGGCCAGGCUGUCUCCACCCGAGACUCAGUGAAAUUGAACUCGCUGUGAAGAUGCAGUGUACCCGCGGCAAGACGGAAAGACCCCGUGAACCUUUACUAUAGCUUGACACUGAACAUUGAGCCUUGAUGUGUAGGAUAGGUGGGAGGCUUUGAAGUGUGGACGCCAGUCUGCAUGGAGCCGACCUUGAAAUACCACCCUUUAAUGUUUGAUGUUCUAACGUUGACCCGUGAUCCGGGUUGCGGACAGUGUCUGGUGGGUAGUUUGACUGGGGCGGUCUCCUCCUAAAGAGUAACGGAGGAGCACGAAGGUUGGCUAAUCCUGGUCGGACAUCAGGAGGUUAGUGCAAUGGCAUAAGCCAGCUUGACUGCGAGCGUGACGGCGCGAGCAGGUGCGAAAGCAGGUCAUAGUGAUCCGGUGGUUCUGAAUGGAAGGGCCAUCGCUCAACGGAUAAAAGGUACUCCGGGGAUAACAGGCUGAUACCGCCCAAGAGUUCAUAUCGACGGCGGUGUUUGGCACCUCGAUGUCGGCUCAUCACAUCCUGGGGCUGAAGUAGGUCCCAAGGGUAUGGCUGUUCGCCAUUUAAAGUGGUACGCGAGCUGGGUUUAGAACGUCGUGAGACAGUUCGGUCCCUAUCUGCCGUGGGCGCUGGAGAACUGAGGGGGGCUGCUCCUAGUACGAGAGGACCGGAGUGGACGCAUCACUGGUGUUCGGGUUGUCAUGCCAAUGGCACUGCCCGGUAGCUAAAUGCGGAAGAGAUAAGUGCUGAAAGCAUCUAAGCACGAAACUUGCCCCG